rnacentral:rRNA from 1 species
AUGCGAGUCGAGAGGGUUCGGCCCUCGGCUGACGGCUCAGUAACACGUGGAUAAUCUGCCCUUAGGUGGAGGAUAAUCUCGGGAAACUGAGGAUAAUACUCCAUAGAUCUAGGAUGCUGGAAUGCAUCUAGAUUGAAAGCUCCGGCGCCUAAGGAUGAGUCUGCGGACUAUCAGGUUGUAGUCAGGGUAAAGACCUGACUAGCCUACGACGGAUACGGGUUGUGAGAGCAAUAACCCGGAGACGAUAUCUGAGACACGAUAUCGGGCCCUACGGGGCGCAGCAGGCGCGAAAACUUCACACUGUGCGAAAGCGCGAUGAGGGAAUCCCAAGUGUUUGCUCGUAAGAGUAAACUGUUUCUUUGUUUAAAACGCAGAGAGAGUAAGGGCUGGGUAAGACGGGUGCCAGCCGCCGCGGUAAUACCUGCAGCUCGAGUGGUGAUCAUUAUUAUUGGGCCUAAAACGUCCGUAGCCGGUUUAGUAAAUGCCUGGGUAAAUCGUGUAGCUUAACUAUACGACUUCCGGGUAGACUGCUAAACUUGAGACCGGGAGAGGCUAGAGGUACUCCUGGGGUAGAGGUGAAAUUCUGUAAUCCUAGGGGGACCACCAGUGGCGAAGGCGUCUAGCUAGAACGGGUCUGACGGUGAGGGACGAAGCCCUGGGGCACAAACCGGAUUAGAUACCCGGGUAGUCCAGGGUGUAAACGCUGCUUGCUUGAUGUUAGUCGGGCUCCGAGCCCAACUAGUGUCGGAGAGAAGUUGUUAAGCAAGCUGCCUGGGAAGUACGGUCGCAAGGCUGAAACUUAAAGGAAUUGGCGGGGGAGCACAGCAACGGGUGGAGCGUGCGGUUUAAUUGGAUUCAACGCCGGAA